AAACAGUAUGUGGUGCCAAAUAUAUUAGAGAUACAGAAUCAAGACAAUGGACGCUCGAUAAGUUACGACAGCUGUAUUCUGGUCCAGAGAAGAAUUUCUUAUAUAAUGUUACUUACGAUGAACAUUCCUUGGAUCCCAACACUUUGGCUGUGCAACUGAUCGGUAUUGAAUACAAGCUUCCAAAUAUAACAGAUAUAUACACUUACAAUGCGACGAGGGAACUGUUGUAUUUGAACAAUAUGCCACGGUCGGCUGAAAUUCUUGCAUCAAAAUUGUAUCAGGACUUUGUCAACUAGAACGAUUUUUGUAUAUUGAAUAUUUUAUCAACUACCAGAACAUAUUUUGAAAAUACAAGAAAGAGAAACUUUUCAGCAUCUUUUGAAUAUUUAAAUUUACUUGUUUUAAAGAAAAAAAAAUGAAAACUGAAAAAAUGUUAACCCGGUAACCUUGAUGUGACCAUGUUUAACAAACCAUUUAGUCACAACUAAUGUAAAAGUUAUGACAUUGGCGAGAAUUUUAUAGUCGUAGGACCAGUGAUUUUGACAUUGUGAAAUAAACCAAUAAAAAAUUGGAUAUUGCUCAGA